AUCAAAUCAAACAUCGUAUAAGAAAUAAUGACAACAAAAUUAAUGUAAGCAUUACUAAUACUCCAUAUGUCAAAAAGUUAAUGUAGCCUCACACACAUUUUGUUAGUUAUGCCUCUACCAUGAUAAAAAAUUUCGGAAGUCACCACAAAAAUUUAGUGAUUGAGUUGUUUAGGGUUAGCUCUUCCAUAUUAAGCAUUACCUUUUUCUCCUAACUCGCAAACAACCUCGUCUAAUUUCUUAUCAAGAUCU
rnacentral:lncRNA from 1 species